rnacentral:lncRNA from 1 species
ACUCCAAACCCUUCGAUUUUGGCUCCGAAAACAGAUGCCGUAGCAGAUUUUAUUUCCCUUUCCGGUGAGCAUGCUGAAUUUCACACCAAAUUUCGGCGACCACCGUCGAAUAAAACUGCCUAGCACCACCAUUAAUGGGAAGCUAACUUCUCGAGGUUUGUAACAGUACCUUCUAUCAUCAAUACUCCACCGUUAACACCUCCGUUCAUUUAAUUCUUUGAAGAGCCAAAAGUUGAACACCAGAUAACGGCCACCAUCGGCGACCUCUGCCGGAAAUCACCAACACCGGUGUACAUCUGAACCCACAAUUAUUCCAAAGGUGGGUCCUGAUCGACGAGAUUCAUUCUCGAAGGUCUCCAAACUAUUAUUUUUCCUUAAAACCCAAAUCUGAAAUUAUCUUUUCAAAUCCCAAUUCUUUUCCUGUAAUCAAAUCUUCCGAAUCUCCUGAAUGAAUUCGAGAAUUCUCGAACAGGGGUAGGAACUAGGGCUUGGAGAAAUUGGGUGAAAUAGGCGAAUACUUUUGGGGAAAACAAAAGAGGUAAGAUAAGAGGGAUUUUGGUGCAAACAUAAUGAAGAAAUUAGGAGAUAAUUUUUUCUUGAUUUUCUGUAAUAUUAUGCGAGAAUGGGUAGAGGGAGAAAGAGAGCGUAA